AACAGUGGUAGGGCUACUCUCUAUUGGCAUGCCGUUAUAUGUAUUGUGACUCCCUCACAUAUAAAUUUCAGCUGACACGCCAAAGGAGAGCUGCCCUGUUACUGUCUC
rnacentral:pre_miRNA from 1 species